UCGGGAAUUUUGGGCAAUGGGCGAAAGCCUGACCCAGCAACGCCGCGUGAAGGAUGAAGUAUUUCGGUAUGUAAACUUCGAAAGAAUAGGAAGAAUAAAUGACGGUACUAUUUAUAAGGUCCGGCUAACUACGUGCCAGCAGCCGCGGUAAUACGUAGGGACCAAGCGUUGUUCGGAAUUACUGGGCGUAAAGCGCACGUAGGCGGAUUGAUAAGUUAGAGGUGAAAUCCCGGGGCUCAACCUCGGAACUGCCUUUGAUACUGUUAGUCUCGAGUCCGAUAGAGGUGAGUGGAAUUCCUAGUGUAGAGGUGAAAUUCGUAGAUAUUAGGAAGAACACCAGUGGCGAAGGCGGCUCACUGGAUCGGUACUGACGCUGAGGUGCGAAAGCGUGGGGAGCAAACAGGAUUAGAUACCCCCGUAGUCCCUGAGCGGGCUGGCAAGGCGCAU
rnacentral:rRNA from 1 species